CUGUGCCAAGAGUUGAUUAACUCAAGUGAUUAAAAUACAAAAAAAAAAUAAAACGCAUUCCAGUAAUCUUCAUCAACACAAUCCAAUUCAAAUCAGGUUUCUUAGAAGAUAUAUGUAGGGAAUUUUUACUGUCUUACUCUGACAAUGUUGGUAUAUAUCCGAGGGCUAACUGUACAGCAGUAUGUCUAAUACUAUGGUGUAAAAUUGUUUAAUCAAACCUUUGAAUAGUUGGAAAAACUAUGUGUAUUCUAAAGUCAUUGGAAAUUAAAAGAAAAAUAUAUUCCAAUAUUCAAUUACAGAUAAAAAUGAUGCUUAGAAUAAAUAGUAAUCUAGUUUUCCAUCUCUCAGCUUGUGAGCUUCUGAUGUAACUAUUUCUGUUCAUAUGUGAUCCAAGGGAAACUAUAAUUCUGUCCUCUAUCCUAGUACCAUCUUUUCUACGUG